rnacentral:rRNA from 1 species
UACGUAGGGUGCAAGCGUUAAUCGGAAUUACUGGGCGUAAAGGGCGCGUAGGCGGUUCUGUAAGUCCCGCGUGAAAUCCCCCGGCUCAACUGGGGAACUGCGCGGGAAACUGUGGGGCUAGAGUUCAGGAGAGGGAAGCGGAAUUCCGGGUGUAGCGGUGAAAUGCGUAGAUAUCCGGAGGAACACCGGUGGCGAAGGCGGCUUCCUGGACUGACACUGACGCUGAGGCGCGAAAGCUAGGGGAGCAAACGGG